rfam:Oryza glumipatula chromosome 4, whole genome shotgun sequence.
AAAAAGACAAAUCCUAGGUUUUCGUGUCCAGCGUUUGAUUGUCCGUCUUAUAUGAUAUUUUUAUAUAAUUAGUAUUUUCAUUAUUGUUAGAUGAUAAAACAUGAUUAAUACUUUAUGCGUGACUUGUCUUUUUAAUUUUUUAAUAUUUUUUUAAAAUAAGACGGACGGUCAAACGUUGGACACGGAAAUCCAGGGUUUGUCUUUUU